GGCGGGGGACAAAUAAUAAUAAUAAUAAUAAUAGUAAUUAAGAAAAACCAAACGAUGCCCACAAGCGGCCGUUGGCUCGGCUGGGUUUUGCAGUCUUGGCUCCGAAUAAAACGCCCCAACGCACAAGCACCAAAAAAAAAAAAAAAGAAAAAAAAUGGUGGUGUUUGGAGCGCUAGAUGGUGGAAUAAAAGGAGCUGAUCCCUCCUCCUGGAUCUACAGCAAAGCCCUGCCAUUUAAGUUGAGCUAAUUUGUCCUCUUUUCGUUACAAUGAAUUGUCUGAUCCGGACUAUUUGCAUUUGCAGCUUCAGUUACUGGAGCAGCUUUUUUUUUUUUGGUUCUUUCUGUUCUAUCGUUGGCUUUUUUUUUUUGUCUUUUAAUUAAAACAUCCUCCCCAAAUAUGCCAAGGAAAAUCUUCAUCUCUGUGGAACAAAUAAAACAUUCAGGCACAAACUUCCACCAUGGACUGGUAAAAAGAGAUGGGUUGUUUUUUUAUUACUAUUUUUGGUGAUGGCAUUUUUUUUUCUCCUGUUUUUAGGAUAUGUUGUAAUAGAAAGCCAAUGGAGGAAUACAAAGGUAAUAUAUACAUAUAUAUAUAUAAAAUCAAACAUAUAUGGGCCAAAAUUGCAGUGAUUAUAUGUAAUUAAAUCAUACUGUUUUAGGUGUGUGGUUUUAUUUUAUAUUCUGUAAGCAGACCUUGGAAGAAGGAGAUACGUAUAUGUGUGUGUGCGUGUACGUGUGUGUAGAAAUAAAAGCACAUCUGUAUGGGCCUAAGUCUGUAAUUCCGGGGGAAAAAAAAAAGACUAGUAUUUUUGGCAUGUGAUUUUUUUUUUUUUAACAAAGAAGGGGCGAUGUUAUGCUGUAGGCUGUAACAAACUGGUGCAGAGAAAGAUGCAGCGUGCGCUGGAUAGACAUUAUACAGCAUGAUACAGAGCUUUGCUGCCUGCAUUAUCAGUUCCCUUUCUUCAUCAGUGAAGCAUUAGUUUCAGAGAGAAACCUGAUGUUUAAAUGAAACCCCAAGAAAGCGCGAAAAGAAAGAAAAACACCCGACAAAACAAUACCAGCCUUGGAAAAAAGGUAAAAAAAAGCAAAAAAAACCCCUCAGCCUGUC